UUUUCCAGAAUUUUUGGAUGAGUGGUUUUUUAAAUGGCCUUAGGGUUUGUGACAUGUGACCAAAUUUUGUACACUUUGCCAAAUCAAUUGUGAAAUGAUGAGAAUGUAUCCAAUGGCUCCCAAAUUUUUUGUGCUUAAACUAGACACACUCAUGGUGAUUUUGGUGUAGAGUUUGUGAAUUUAUCAUUGCUGGUUUGUGAGUUAUGAAUUUUUGAAUUAGGGUGUGACAAUUUGUGUCACACCAUUGAUGUCCAACUUCAUGAUUUUCAUUACCAUGCUUCCUUACAUCCAAAUGACCCCAAAUUUUGCAUGAACCUACUCUUGUAUGUCUAGUUGACUUGUGAAUUUUCUUGGAUUUAAUUGAACUAUUUUCCAUUUGUUUGAGAUUUUUCUCCCCUGCUUGGUCAUAUGUUGACUUUGUGUGACACAUGUUCCCAUUUCAUUUGUGAAAUUCUCAUACUUUAUUGGAUGGACAUGAAAUUUUACAUGAGAUAACUAGACAUCCUCAUCUUUACCAUGGUUUUAGUCCCAUUCAUUUAUCAUACACCAUCUCUGAUUUAUGAUUUUUCUAAGUUGAUGCAUGUUUGGUUGACUUCAUUGAGCAUGUUCAAAAUUGCCUUGACUUUCUGAUUUUCAUUGACUGCCUUCCACUUGUCCAAAUG
rnacentral:lncRNA from 1 species